UGCAAGUCGAACGGUGAAGCGAGAGCUUGCUCUCGUGGAUCAGUGGCGAACGGGUGAGUAACACGUGAGUAACCUGCCCCAGACUCUGGGAUAAGCCUUGGAAACGAGGUCUAAUACCGGAUACGAGACGAGAUCGCAUGGUCAUCGUCUGGAAAGAAUUUCGGUCUGGGAUGGACUCGCGGCCUAUCAGCUUGUUGGUGAGGUAAUGGCUCACCAAGGCGACGACGGGUAGCCGGCCUGAGAGGGCGACCGGCCACACUGGAACUGAGACACGGUCCAGACUCCUACGGGAGGCAGCAGUGGGGAAUAUUGCACAAUGGGCGCAAGCCUGAUGCAGCGACGCCGCGUGGGGGAUGAAGGCCUUCGGGUUGUAAACCCCUUUCAGCAGGGAAGAAGCGAAAGUGACGGUACCUGCAGAAGAAGCGCCGGCUAACUACGUGCCAGCAGCCGCGGUAAUACGUAGGGCGCAAGCGUUGUCCGGAAUUAUUGGGCGUAAAGAGCUCGUAGGCGGUCUGUCGCGUCUGCUGUGAAAACCCGAGGCUCAACCUCGGGCCUGCAGUGGGUACGGGCAGACUAGAGUGUGGUAGGGGAGACUGGAAUUCCUGGUGUAGCGGUGGAAUGCGCAGAUAUCAGGAGGAACACCAAUGGCGAAGGCAGGUCUCUGGGCCACUACUGACGCUGAGGAGCGAAAGCAUGGGGAGCGAACAGGAUUAGAUACCCUGGUAGUCCAUGCCGUAAACGGUGGGCACUAGAUGUGGGGCUCUUUCCAUGAGUUCCGCGUCGCAGCUAACGCAUUAAGUGCCCCGCCUGGGGAGUACGGCCGCAAGGCUAAAACUCAAAGGAAUUGACGGGGGCCCGCACAAGCGGCGGAGCAUGCGGAUUAAUUCGAUGCAACGCGAAGAACCUUACCAAGGCUUGACAUAUACCCUUUAUCCCUAGAGAUAGGGAGUCCUUCGGGGGGGUAUACAGGUGGUGCAUGGUUGUCGU
rnacentral:rRNA from 1 species